UUCUUGUCUGGGCUUCAGAUAUACUUGGAUCUUUGACAUACUUAAUAUAAAGGCCCUGUCUUUGAUGUGCUUUUUUCCUCCUUUUUAAAGUUGUAGACAUGGUCCCUUUCUAGGUGUGUAUCACUGUAUUUUGCUUGUGUAAUAGUGAAUUGUUUUGUGGCAAGAAUAUUGUCAACUUGGCAGCUGAUGAAAGAUGAUGUAUAUGGUAACAAAAAUAAACAAGUUCAGGGGUAGGGAAUAUAAACAUAGUAAAAUCUUGUGUUGAAAUCAGAGCCUUCAGAUUUAGCAAACAUGUUAGAACAGGAGAAGUGAGUGUGUUGGAGUUCAGUUUAAACAAGAUGUGAAUAGUAUAGCACAUGGAAAAUGAAGGCUUAUUUU
rnacentral:lncRNA from 1 species